UUCCAGACUCCUACGGGAGGCAGCAGUGGGGGAUAUUGCACAAUGGGGGGAACCCUGAUGCAGCGACGCCGCGUGGGUGAAGGAGCGUUUCGGCGCGUAAAGCCCUAUCGGCAGGGAAGAAGAUGACGGUACCUGACCAAGAAGCCCCGGCUAACUACGUGCCAGCAGCCGCGGUAAUACGUAGGGAGCAAGCGUUAUCCGGAUUUAUUGGGUGUAAAGGGUGCGUAGACGGGAAGGCAAGUUGGUUGUGAAAUCCCUCGGCUUAACUGAGGAACUGCAACCAAAACUAUCUUUCUUGAGUGCUGGAGAGGAAAGUGGAAUUCCUAGUGUAGCGGUGAAAUGCGUAGAUAUUAGGAGGAACACCAGUGGCGAAGGCGACUUUCUGGACAGUAACUGACGUUGAGGCACGAAAGUGUGGGGAGCAAACAGGAUUAGAUACCCUGGUAACC
rnacentral:rRNA from 1 species